GAUGAACGCUGGCGGCGUGCCUAAUACAUGCAAGUCGAGCGAACGGACGAGAAGCUUGCUUCUCUGAUGUUAGCGGCGGACGGGUGAGUAACACGUGGAUAACCUACCUAUAAGACUGGGAUAACUUCGGGAAACCGUAGCUAAUACCGGAUAAUAUUUUGAACCGCAUGGUUCAAAAGUGAGAGACGGUCUUGCUGUCACUUAUAGAUGGAUCCGCGCUGCAUUAGCUAGUUGGUAAGGUAACGGCUUACCAAGGCAACGAUGCAUAGCCGACCUGAGAGGGUGAUCGGCCACACUGGAACUGAGACACGGUCCAGACUCCUACGGGAGGCAGCAGUAGGGAAUCUUCCGCAAUGGGCGAAAGCCUGACGGAGCAACGCCGCGUGAGUGAUGAAGGUCUUCGGAUCGUAAAACUCUGUUAUUAGGGAAGAACAUAUGUGUAAGUAACUGUGCACAUCUUGACGGUACCUAAUCAGAAAGCCACGGCUAACUACGUG
rnacentral:rRNA from 1 species